GAUGAACGCUAGCGGCAGGCCUAAUACAUGCAAGUCGAACGAUACCAGAGAGCUUGCUUUCUGGGAAAGUGGCGCACGGGUGCGUAACGCGUAUGCAACCUACCUUAAUCAGGGGGAUAGCCUCUCGAAAGAGAGAUUAACACCGCAUAACAUCAUUUUACGGCAUCGUAGAAUGAUCAAAUAUUUAUAGGAUUAAGAUGGGCAUGCGUGACAUUAGCUAGUUGGUGAGGUAACGGCUCACCAAGGCUACGAUGUGUAGGGGAUCUGAGAGGAUGACACCCCACACUGGUACUGAGACACGGACCAGACUCCUACGGGAGGCAGCAGUAAGGGAUAUUAGUCAAUGGAGGCAACUCUGAACCAGCCAUGCCGCGUGCAGGAAGACGGCCCUAUGGGUUGUAAACUGCUUUUAUACGGGAAUAAACCUCUCUACGUGUAGGGAGUUGAAUGUACUGUAAGAAUAAGGAUCGGCUAACUCCGUGCCAGCCGCCGCCGUAA
rnacentral:rRNA from 1 species